UUCCUACGGGGGGCAGCAGUGGGGAAUAUUGCACAAUGGGGGAAACCCUGAUGCAGCAACGCCGCGUGAGUGAAGAAGGUUUUCGGAUUGUAAAGCUCUGUUAGCAGGGAAGAGGAAGGACGGGACCUGCAGAGGAAGCCACGGCUAACUAAGUGCCAGCAGGCGCGGGAAUACGGAGGUGGCAAGCGGUGUUCGGAAUAACUUGGCGUAAAGGAUGCGUAGGCGGUUAAAACAGUUAU
rnacentral:rRNA from 1 species